CAGUCGCCGCGGUAACACGUAGGGCGCAAGCGUUAUCCGGAAUUAUUGGGCGUAAAGAGCUCGUAGGCGGUUUGUCGCGUCUGCCGUGAAAGUCCGGGGCUCAACCCCGGAUCUGCGGUGGGUACGGGCAGACUAGAGUGAUGUAGGGGAGACUGGAAUUCCUGGUGUAGCGGUGAAAUGCGCAGAUAUCAGGAGGAACACCGAUGGCGAAGGCAGGUCUCUGGGCAUUAACUGACGCUGAGGAGCGAAAGCAUGGGGAGCGAACAGGAUUAGAGACCCCUGUAGUCCCUGUCUCUUAUAU
rnacentral:rRNA from 1 species